rnacentral:rRNA from 1 species
AUGGCACUGCUCGGAAAUCUAACAGCAAGCCCCACGGCCGCCAUCAUUCGUAAGAUGUGGCAGGCGCAGCGCGCCGACGGCCCAGCAUCCGUGCUGGCUACCGGAACGACGAACCCGGCGAACUGCAUGCGCCAGGACGAGUACGCGGACUACUACUUCCGCGUCACCCAAAAGCAGCACCUCACCAAGCUCAAAUCCAAGCUCAACAGAAUCUGUGACAGGUCGGCCAUCAAGAAGCGCUACUUCCACCACACGGAGGAGUUGCUGCAGCAUCACCCGGAGUUCAUCGACCGCACGUUGACAUCCCUGGAUGCCCGGAUGGACAUCGCGGCCACCCCCGUUCCGGACCUCGCGGCAGCGGCCGCGGGCAAGGCCAUCGCGGAGUGGGGCCGCCCAGCCGCCGACAUCACCCACCUCGUCGUCAGCACCUACUCCGGCGCCCACAUGCCAGGCGUCGACCUCCGCCUGGCCUCCCGCCUCGGCCUCGACCCGUCCGUCCGCCGCACCAUGCUCUACCUCAACGGCUGCUCCAGCGGGUCCGCCGCGCUCCGCGUCGCCAAGGACAUUGCCGAGAACAACCGCGGUGCCCGCGUCCUCGUCGCCUGCGCCGAGCUCACCCUCAUCUUGUUCCGCGCGCCGGACGAGGCCCACGUCGACACGAUCAUCAUGCAGGCUCUCUACGGCGACGGCGCGGCCGCCGUGAUAGUCGGAGCCGAACCCGACGCCUCCGCGGAGCGCCCGAUUUUCGAGAUGGUGGCCGCCUCGCAGAGCGUGAUACCUGAGAGUACGCACGGCGCGGUCGGGCGACUUCGGGAAGACGGGCUCGUCUUCAACCCUUCCUUCGAGAUGCCGGCGCUGAUCCGGGAAAACAUCGAGCAGUGCAUGGCCGACGCAGUCGGGCCGCUUGGGUUGAGCGGUGGCUGGAACGACCUUUUCUGGGCGGUGCAUCCCGGCGGGCGGGCAAUCUUGGACAGCGUGGAGGCGGGAUCCAGUUGGAGCCAAAGAAGCUGA